rnacentral:rRNA from 1 species
UACGAAGGGGGCUAGCGUUGCUCGGAAUCACUGGGCGUAAAGCGCACGUAGGCGGCUUGUUAAGUCAGGGGUGAAAUCCUGGAGCUCAACUCCAGAACUGCCUUUGAUACUGGCGAGUCUUGAGUCGGAGAGGUGAGUGGAACUGCGAGUGUAGAGGUGAAAUUCGUAGAUAUUCGCAAGAACACCAGUGGCGAAGGCGGCUCACUGGCCCGAUACUGACGCUGAGGUGCGAAAGCGUGGGGAGCAAACAGGG